rnacentral:rRNA from 1 species
AUGGCUCAGGAUGAACGCUAGCGACAGGCUAACACAUGCAAGUCGAGGGGCAGCAUAAAAGUAGCAAUACUUGGUGGCGACCGGCGCACGGGUGAGUAACGCGUAUGCAACCUACCUAUCAGAGGGGAAUAACCCGGCGAAAGUCGGACUAAUACCGCAUAAAACAGGGGCACCGCAUGGUGAUAUUUGUUAAAGAAAUUCGCUGAUAGAUGGGCAUGCGUUCCAUUAGGUAGUUGGUGAGGUAACGGCUCACCAAGCCGACGAUGGAUAGGGGAACUGAGAGGUUGGUCCCCCACACUGGUACUGAGACACGGACCAGACUCCUACGGGAGGCAGCAGUGAGGAAUAUUGGUCAAUGGGCGGGAGCCUGAACCAGCCAAGUCGCGUGAAGGAAGAAGGAUCUAUGGUUCGUAAACUUCUUUUGCAGGGGAAUAAAGUGCAGGACGUGUCCUGUUUUGUAUGUACCCUGAGAAUAAGGAUCGGCUAACUCCGUGCCAGCCGCGGC